rnacentral:rRNA from 1 species
AGAACGAACGCUGGCGGCAUGCCUAAUACAUGCAAGUCGAACGAAGGCUUCGGCCUUAGUGGCGCACGGGUGCGUAACGCGCGGGGAUCUGCCCCUUGGUUCGGAAUAACAGUUGGAAACGACUGCUAAUACCGGAUGAUGACGAAAGUCCAAAGAUUUAUCGCCAAGGGAUGAGCCCGCGUAGGAUUAGCUAGUUGGUGAGGUAAAGGCUCACCAAGGCGACGAUCCUUAGCUGGUCUGAGAGGAUGAUCAGCCACACUGGGACUGAGACACGGCCCAGACUCCUACGGGAGGCAGCAGCAGGGAAUAUUGGACAAUGGGCGAAAGCCUGAUCCAGCAAUGCCGCGUGAGUGAUGAAGGCCUUAGGGUUGUAAAGCUCUUUACCGGGAUGAUAAUGACAGUAUCGGAGAAUAAGCCCGCUAACUCCGUGCUAGCAGCCGC